GCCUGAGUGGCUCAGUGGUUGAGCGUCUGCCUUUGGCUCAGGUCAUGAUCCUGGGGUCCUGAGAUCGAGUCCUGCUCAGGCU
rnacentral:tRNA from 1 species